rnacentral:rRNA from 1 species
AGGGAAAGGUGAAAAGUACCCCAGUGAGGGGAGUGAAAUAGUACCUGAAACCGUUUGCCUACAAGCAGUGGGAGCACGAUUGGCUUUUUAAGCCGCGUGUGACUGCGUGCCUUUUGCAUAAUGAGUCAGCGACUUAAUCUACGUAGCCAGGUUAAACCGUUAGGUGUAGCCGUAGCGAAAGCGAGUCUUAACUGGGCGCAUAGUUACGUGGAUUAGACCCGAAACCAGGUGAUCUAUCCAUGGCCAGGUUGAAGCGUGAGUAAAAUCGCGUGGAGGACCGAACCGUUGAAUGUUGAAAAAUUCUCGGAUGAGCUGUGGAUAGGGGUGAAAGGCCAAACAAACCUGGAGAUAGCUGGUUCUCUCCGAAAUAUAUUUAGGUAUAGCCUCAUAUGUUUCUUGACGGGGGUAGAGCACUGGAUGGGCUAGGGGUCUCACCAGAUUACCAAACCUAACCAAACUUCGAAUACCGUUAAGUUAAAUGUGGGAGUCAGACUGCGGGAGCUAAGUUCCGUGGUCGAGAGGGAAACAACCCAGACCGUCAGCUAAGGUCCCUAAAUCAAUACUAAGUGGACAAGGAUGUGGGAAUGCCCAGACAACCAGGAGGUUGGCUUAGAAGCAGCCAUCCUUUAAAGAAAGCGUAACAGCUCACUGGUCGAGUGAAUCUGCGCCGAAAAUGUAUCGGGGCUAAGUAUUGUACCGAAGCUACGGAUAGGAUUUAUCCUAUGGUAGGAGAGCAUUGAAUACGGGCUGAAGGUGUACCGUAAGGAGCGCUGGACUGUAUUCAAGAGCCCAUGCUGACAUGAGUAGCGAUAAAGCGAGUGAAAAACUCGCUCACCGAAAGCCUAAGGUUUCCUGAGUAAAGCUAAUCUUCUCAGGGUUAGUCGAUCCCUAAGCCGAGGCCGAAAGGCGUAGGCGAUGGAAAACGGGUUAAUAUUCCCGUACCACCGAAGAAUCGUUUGAGAGAUGGAGUGACGUAGCAGGGUAGGUCAUCCGGGUGCUGGAUUACCCGGUUUAAGUGUGUAGGCUUAAGAAACAGGCAAAUCCGUUUCUUUUUAAGGCUGAGACAUGAAUACGAGGAUCUUUGAUCCAUAAAGUGAUUGAUCCCAUACUACCAAGAAAAACUUCUAUCGAGAUUCCCAGGUGAUCGUACCGCAAACCGACACAGGUAGGCAGGAAGAGAAUUCUAAGGUGCUUGAGAUAACUCUGGUUAAGGAACUCGGCAAAAUAACACCGUAACUUCGGGAGAAGGUGUGCCACCAAAGUGAUAUUAUUUACUAAUUGAGCUUAGUGUGGUCGCAGAGAAAUGGCGGUAGCGACUGUUUACUAAAAACAUAGGACUUUGCUAAAUCGUAAGAUGAUGUAUAAGGUCUGACGCCUGCCCGGUGCCGGAAGGUUAAGGGGAUUUGUUAGCGUCUUCGGAUGCGAAGCUUUGAACCGAAGCCCCGGUAAACGGCGGCCGUAACUAUAACGGUCCUAAGGUAGCGAAAUUCCUUGUCGGGUAAGUUCCGACCUGCACGAAUGGCGUAACGACUUCCGCGCUGUCUCAACCAGAGACUCAGCGAAAUUGUAUUGGCGGUGAAGAUGCCGUCUACCCGCGAAAAGACGGAAAGACCCCGGCACCUUUACUAUAGCUUGACAUUGGAUUUUGGAUUAUUAUGUGUAGGAUAGGUGGGAGGCUUUGAAGCAGGUACGCCAGUGCUUGUGGAGCCACCCUUGAAAUACCACCCUUACUAAUCUAGAGUUCUAACGAUGACCCGUUAUCCGGGUUUCGGACAGUGUCUGGUGGGUAGUUUGACUGGGGCGGUCGCCUCCCAAAGAGUAACGGAGGCGCGCGAAGGUUCCCUCAGG